UACAGAGACUGCGAGCGUUAUUCGGAUUCACUGGGCGUAAAGGGUGCGCAGGCGGCCAAGUGUGUUAGGCGUGAAAGCCCGAGGCUUAACCUCGGAAUUGCACCUAAAACUUCAUGGCUAGAGUACUGGAGAGGGUAACGGAAUUCACGGUGUAGCAGUGAAAUGCGUAGAUAUCGUGAGGAACACCAGAGGCGAAGGCGGUUACCUGGACAGUUACUGACGCUCAGGCACGAAAGCGUGGGGAGCAAAAGGG
rnacentral:rRNA from 1 species